rnacentral:rRNA from 1 species
GACGAACGCUGGCGGCGUGCUUAACACAUGCAAGUCGAACGGAAAGGCCCCUUUGGGGGUACUCGAGUGGCGAACGGGUGAGUAACACGUGAGUAACCUGCCCUUGACUUCGGGAUAACUUCAGGAAACUGGGGCUAAUACCGGAUAGGAAUCCUUGCUGCAUGGUGGGGGUUGGAAAGCUUCGGCGGUUUUGGAUGGACUCGCGGCUUAUCAGCUUGUUGGUGGGGUAGUGGCUUACCAAGGCUUUGACGGGUAGCCGGCCUGAGAGGGCGACCGGCCACAUUGGGACUGAGAUACGGCCCAGACUCCUACGGGAGGCAGCAGGGGGGAAGAUUGCACAAUGGGCGGAAGCCGGAUGCAGCAACGCCGCGUGCGGGAUGACGGCCUUCGGGUUGUAAACCGCUUUCAGCAGGGGCGAAGCUUGUGGUGACGGUACCUGCAGAAGAAGCACCGGCUAACUACGUG